ACCAAUUCUGGGGAUAAAUGUUUCCUCCUGGUAUAAUGGCUCGGGCGCUAUAUUUAACGAUUGUGGCUAUCCUGAUCAAUGGUUGCUUUCAAUGCUUUCAAUGUCAUAUGAUCCCGGAAACACCACACACGUUA